rnacentral:rRNA from 1 species
GACGAACGCUGGCGGCGUGCUUAACACAUGCAAGUCGAACGAUGAAGCCGGAGCUUGCUCUGGUGAAUUAGUGGCGAACGGGUGAGUAACACGUGAGUAACCUGCCCUAGACUCUGGGAUAACUGCUAGAAAUGGUAGCUAAUACCGGAUACGACCCUCGGAGGCAUCUUCAGGGGGUGGAAAGAAUUUCGGUCAAGGAUGGACUCGCGGCCUAUCAGCUAGUUGGUGAGGUAAUGGCUCACCAAGGCGACGACGGGUAGCCGGCCUGAGAGGGUGACCGGCCACACUGGGACUGAGACACGGCCCAGACUCCUACGGGAGGCAGCAGUGGGGAAUAUUGCGCAAUGGGCGAAAGCCUGACGCAGCGACGCCGCGUGAGGGAUGACGGCCUUCGGGUUGUAAACCUCUUUCAGCAGGGAAGAAGCGAAAGUGACGGUACCUGCAGAAGAAGCACCGGCUAACUACGUGCCAGCCGCCGCAGUAA